CGGAAGCCAAAGCAUAAGCGUCCAAUCUAAACGUCCAUGGUGCGACUGAAUCCCUCCUCUUAAUAGUUGACCGCCCCGUCUCCUAUUCCCCAUCUCUCCCCAACCGACACAAAUGCCACCCUGCAAGGGACGUAACAGAACCCAGCCCCUCAUCUAGGGUUUGUGGCCGCCGGCGAUGGCGGGGAAAGGGAAGGAUCUGGAGGAUGGGUGGAACUUCGUGCAGAAGGGCAUCAAAAAGCUCAUCAACAUCCUUGAGGGCAAGCCGGAAUCACAGUUCAGCUUCGAGUACGUCUACGUGAUGUUCUACACGUGAUUAAAGUGGGGCAAAACCAAACCAACUCAUGCAUUAAUUCUAAUUACCUCAGCUUGGUCCGGAAGGAGCAUCAGGCGAAAGAUUUUCUGAGUAUGAUUCCUAUUCAUUUCAAUGAUCUACAUGGGAAGCGCAAGUCUAGCUGCGAUGAUACAAAUCCGCUCGGCAAACAAAUAAAAGCAUUUGGCAGAAGAAGCGAUGACCAAGCAAGAGCAAGUCAUGACAAUUACUGGUCUUUUGUUCACCAAUCAGCUGUUAUGUUUCAUAAACAUGUUCAUAAUGCUAAUGUAAAAUGGUUAUUGAAUGUACUAUAUAUAAAUAGAAUGAAUUUAGGGCCGGAGUUGUUGUUCUAGAAAGGCAGAGUUGAAACACAAAGAAGGCCAGGCAAAGCAUAUGGGAGGAUGCAAGUGUUUCAAUCAGGAAUGAUAAUAUGUGGUAUGCUUU